ACGCUGGCGGCACGCCUAACACAUGCAAGUCGAACGAAGUAGCAAUACUUAGUGGCAGACGGGUGAGUAACAUGUAGGUAUCUACCCUUUGGCCUGGAAUAACACGAGGAAACUUGUGCUAAUACCGGAUAAGUCUUUACGGAGAAAGCUUUAUGCACCAUUGGAUGAGCCUGCACUUGAUUAGUUUGUUGGUGGGGUAAUGGCCCACCAAGACUGUGAUCAAUAGCUGAUUUGAGAGGAUGAUCAGCCACAUUGGGACUGAGACACGGCCCAAACUCCUACGGGAGGCAGCAGUGGGGAAUCUUGCACAAUGGAGGAAACUCUGAUGCAGCGAUGCCGCGUGAGUGAAGAAGGCCUUUGGGUUGUAAAGCUCUUUCGUCGGGGAAGAAAAUGACUGUACCCGAAUAAGAAGGUCCGGCUAACUUCGUGCCAGCAGCCGCGGUAAUACGAAGGGACCUAGCGUAGUUCGGAAUUACUGGGCUUAAAGAGUUCGUAGGUGGUUGAAAAAGUUGGUGGUGAAAUCCCAGAGCUUAACUCUGGAACUGCCAUCAAAACUUUUCAGCUAGAGUAUGAUAGAGGAAAGCAGAAUUUCUAGUGUAGAGGUGAAAUUCGUAGAUAUUAGAAAGAAUACCAAUUGCGAAGGCAGCUUUCUGGAUCAUUACUGACACUGAGGAACGAAAGCAUGGGUAGCGAAGAGGAUUAGAUACCCUCGUAGUCCAUGCCGUAAACGAUGUGUGUUAGACGUUGGAAAUUUAUUUUCAGUGUCGCAGCGAAAGCGAUAAACACACCGCCUGGGGAGUACGACCGCAAGGUUAAAACUCAAAUGAAUUGACGGGGACCCGCACAAGUAGUGGAGCAUGUGGUUUAAUUCGAAGAUACGCGCAGAACCUUACCAACACUUGACAUGUUCGUCGCGACUUUAAGAGAUUAAAGUUUACGGUUCGGCCGGACGAAACACAGGUGCUGCAUGGCUGCCGUCAGCUCGUGUCGUGAGAUGUUGGGUUAAGUCCCGCAACGAGCGCAACCCUCACUUUUAGUUGCCAUCAUUAAGUUGGGCACUCUGAAAGAACUGCCAGUGAUAAGCUGGAGGAAGGUGGGGAUGACGUCAAGUCCUCAUGGCCCUUACGUGUUGGGCUACACACGUGCUACAAUGGUAUCUACAACAGGAAGCAAAAUCGCGAGGUUAAGCAAAUCCUUAAAAGAUACCUCAGUUCGGAUUGCACUCUGCAACUCGAGUGCAUGAAGCUGGAAUUACUAGUAAUCGUGGAUCAGCGUGCCACGGUGAAUGCGUUCCCGGGUCUUGUACACACCGCCCGUCACACCAUGGGAGUUGGUUCUACCUUAAGGCAAGGUUUAAAACCCUUGACCACGGUAUAGUCAGCGACUGGGGUG
rnacentral:rRNA from 1 species